rnacentral:rRNA from 1 species
ACUCCUACGGGAGGCAGCAGUGGGGAAUAUUGCACAAUGGGCGCAAGCCUGAUGCAGCCAUGCCGCGUGUAUGAAGAAGGCCUUCGGGUUGUAAAGUACUUUCAGCAGUGAGGAAGGUGGGUAUGUUAAUAGCAUACUCAUUUGACGUUAGCUGCAGAAGAAGCACCGGCUAACUCCGUGCCAGCAGCCGCGGUAAUACGGAGGGUGCGAGCGUUAAUCGGAAUUACUGGGCGUAAAGCGCAUGCAGGUGGUUUGUUAAGUCAGAUGUGAAAGCCCGGGGCUCAACCUCGGAAUUGCAUUUGAAACUGGCAAACUAGAGUACUGUAGAGGGGGGUAGAAUUUCAGGUGUAGCGGUGAAAUGCGUAGAGAUCUGAAGGAAUACCGGUGGCAAAGGCGGCCCCCUGGACAGAUACUGACACUCAGAUGCGAAAGCGUGGGGAGCAAACAGGAUUAGAUACCCUGGUAGCGUAG